UUUGAAGUUACAUGUAGGACUGCUAAAUGG
rnacentral:piRNA from 1 species